GAAAUGACGUCACUACUCAAUAAAAGUCGCGCUCCUUCAUCGUCACAUCCUCUUUCCGUUGCUCUUCUCUCGUUGAGAAAAGUCUCCACACGAUGAGAGCCAAGUGGAGGAAGAAGCGCAUGCGCAGGCUGAAGCGUAAAAGGCGAAAGAUGAGGCAGAGGUCAAAGUAAGCCCUCAUCCCUGCCAGCUGUGAUCCCAUGUGAGCUUCUUCAGACGCAGUCAUCCAGGAAGUGGAUCGCUCGAAGCAUCGGCUGAAAUUGUGACCAGGUCCUGAUCUUGGUAUCUGAGGACAGCGUCCACUGGCCCAGCUGUGGAUGUGUUGCUGGAAGAAGUUUUAAGAUGUUGGAAUCCAUCAGAAGUGCAGCUGCAUUGUUCAUGGACCAUAAUACAACUUGUUUACUUGCAAACUGUCAUGUGGUGUAUUGAACAAUAAAUGAACACUGUUAAGUUUCCAGAA